UACGAAGGGGGCUAGCGUUGCUCGGAAUCACUGGGCGUAAAGCGCACGUAGGCGGAUUGCUAAGUCAGGGGUGAAAUCCUGGAGCUCAACUCCAGAACUGCCUUUGAUACUGGCGAUCUCGAGUCCGGGAGAGGCGAGUGGAACUGCGAGUGUAGAGGUGAAAUCCGUAGAUAUUCGCAAGAACACCAGUGGCGAAGGCGGCUCACUGGCCCGGUACUGACGCUGAGGUGCGAAAGCGUGGGGAGCAAACAGG
rnacentral:rRNA from 1 species